UUAAAACUCAAUCACAGACGCGGAUGCUGGGUCCAGAAGAUACCUGAGUGAUGAUCUCAUCCACACUUUACAGGCUUUCACAUUUGGAUGGGUUCUGCGAGAUCAGAGCUUUUUCUGCAUUGCACCAUCACUUCACCGCACGCCAGCCGUCGCAAUGCUGCAGCUCUGCAACUCGCCGGGGUUUGAGCAGGCCCUUUGUGAAGCCCCGGGGACACUGGGGCGCCAUGAGGAAAACCGCUCCCACACCCAGCUUCAGUUUCACAGAAAAGUAUUCGUCAGGAAAGAGUUUGGAAAUAAAAGAUAACUGCCUCUG